CGACCGCCGGGACGCCAACCCACGGUGCCCACCCGUGCGUCAUUCCGCUGUGGAUCAGCCCUUUGGCGGCCCCCCUCCGAAGUCUGCAAGGUCACACGGAUGUCUGCAGGCAGAGAUGGGGCUGCUGGGGCUCUGCCAGCAGCUGCUUCCGGCUCCCUGAGACCCAGCCAUGGAAGGCACAGAAAGGCAUGUGACAAGAAACUCAUGGCUUUUAAUCCUGGCAGGACAAGGAAAACCCCGUCAAAGAUUUGCAUAAAUUUUGCUGCUCUCCUGCUGGGGGGGUAGUUCGUCACGUUUAAGAAAACUCUCUCCCUCUCUCCUCCCUAUUGCAUUAUCUUAUAUUUAUGUAUUUAUUUGAGACAGUCUGGCUCUGUCGCCCAGGCUGGAGUGCAGUGGCGAGAUCUUAGCUCAGUGGCGCGAUGACGGGUCACUGCAACCUCCACCUCCUGGGUUCAAGCAGUUCUGCCUCAGCCUCCCAAGUAGCUGGGAUUACAGGCCAGCCGGGAUUACGCCACCACACCUGGCUAAUUUUUUUGUAUUUUUAGUAGAGACAGGGUUUCACCAUGUUGGUCAGGCUGUUCUCAAACUCCUGACCUCCAGUGAUCCACCUGCCCUAGCCUCCCAAAGUACUGGGAUUACAGGCAUGAGCCAUCAUGCCCGGUUCUUCAAGAAAGGCAAGGAAAAUAACAUUGUCUUUGAGCCAGUUGCAUGUCGAGGAAAUAAGGGUACCCCCCCACCACACCCCAACCCCCUCAGUGCCCUGGGGUUUGAAGCAAAUGCUCAGAGGGCCUGGUACGCAGAUGGGCGUCUUCGGAUGAUGCAGAAGGCAAUAAGCACCAGGGCGAGGAGGCCAAGAAGGAUCAGGCCGAUGAUGAGAGGCAGCAAGAUGGACCGGUCACUGGGGCAGGAGAAACCUGGCGGAAGGAUAGGGCAGGUGGGUAUUUGCAGUGACAUGCUGGUUGGGAUAAAGGUGGGAGGAGGGAAUGGGGAGGAUGCUGGGGAGUAGGAGAUUGGUGAGGAGCUCACCGCAGUGACUCAGCAGUGAUAAAAGGGGGAAACUGGCAGAGUCUUGUAGAAGAUGGAAGGACAGCUGCCCUGUAGCCAUGACAAGCUAGGAGAGCGAGAUUUGGGGAGUUAAGAAGAGAGAUGAGUGGCUUAUGGGCCUGGGGAAGGGGUUUUCAGUGCAGUGGGAGGAUUCUAGGAGGGAAGGAGCAGGUAGGUCUUACUUUGCCCAAAGACCCCGGUGUGGGGCAGCUGAGCAGCCUGGAGCCUCAGGGAGAGCAGGUCGAGGUGGACAGCUGGUGAAAGAAUGAUGCUUGAGUUGCUGCAACUGAAGCUCUGGCCCAGGGGUGCUUGGAGAUCUCGAAGGGAUGCAUUCUGGGCCGAGAAUGUCCACUCUGGAGGAGUGAGGAAGGGUCAGAUCCCAUCCACCUCCCUGGCCCCGGCUUAGUCCUUUCAGGAACCCUGGCGUCUAGUGGUAGCAAUGAGAAAGGGAAGGAGGUUACUUACGUGCUGCGUGGGGGAAGGACACAUUGUACUCCACCGCCAUGUAGCUCAGGUAGACAACCUUCUGCUGGAGGUCCUGUGGGGCGAACAGGAAGGCGCAGGUGGUAUCCCCCUCCACAGAGGAAGGAGUAGCAUGCGGGAUUGGGAGGGGUGGGGCACCGGGAGGCUGAGUGAGGGGUGAGACUGAGGUCAUGGCUAUACCUGCAUGAAUCCAAAGCUGAGGUGUCCAUAGGGGAAUGAGAGAAGCAGGUGGGGAUGGGCACCCUCACAGCUUCCCUGGACCUUGGUUUUGUUGGGGUUCAGUACAGAGUUGCCCCAGGCCUGCGGAAGUUAAAGAUCAGAAGGUCACAAGACUGCGUGCGAUGCCAGCCAAUGUUCCCUGUCCCCUCUUCCUCCUUCCCUCUGAGCCUAUAUAGCCAGUCCUGCCUCCCUCCCCUCUCGUCCCCCAGUUUUAGCUUUACCUCUCCUCCACCCUGGGUUGUGUACAUGACUCGAAUCUGAAUCUGGGCUUGGAGGUGGACACAAGGCUGGGAACCAUUGGUCCACGUGUAGUCUCCAAUGGUCUCCUUGGAGGCUGGGCUAGGACUCGGAGAGGGUGGAGGUGGUCCUGGGUGGGCAGAACUGGUGAAUCCUGGGCUGGUGGCAGUGCUGUUGCUUGUUGGAUGAACCGUGGCAUUUCCAUGACUAGUGGUGGCAGGACUGUGAGUGGAAGUUGAGGGUCCCUGGCUGGUGGCAGUGCUAUUGCUUGUUGGAUGAACCGUGACGUUUCCAUGGCUGGUGGUGGUGGGGUUGUGAGUGGCAGUCAUGGGUCCGUGGCUCGUGGUGCCUGUGGUGGUUGUCCUGUGAGUGGUGGUUUUGUGGCUCUUGGUAGUCCUGUGGCUGGUUGUUCCAGUGCUCUCUCUAGCUGUGGGUGUCACCGUGAAGGAUGGCAGCAAAGUGGCCGAUUUUUUGUGAGGACAGUCAUUCCCUGUCCCCUGGGCUUUUGGCAGAGAGGAGAUGGUUAGCAACCCAGGGGCAGGCUCACUCCCAGGGGCCCCCUCCCCUCAGCCUCCUUCCUCCUUACCUGCCAGUAGCCCCAGCAGGGCCCCUGAGAAGAGCACAGCCAGCCUCAUGGCUGAACCGCCUCACCCAAAGUCCAGCUAGGCUGUCUGCACCAGUUGCUCAACCCUACUCCCUCAGCCCUCUCUUGGAAAGGAGGAAAUGAAAGUCUCACUUCCUGUACUGGAGAUGAUCCCACCCACAGCCUGACUCAGGGGCCUCAGCUCUAGCCACCUCUCUCUUAGUCAUUAGUCUUUGUAAUUAAGUUAGGGGACUAUUGGCCCUGCUUCAUCAGGGCAAAGUCAACAGUGUCACAUGGGUGCAAACAGGGAGUCCUAGGGCAGUUGAUCCAUAGGGAUCCAUGUGUCAAAUUCAGCAAAACUUGCUUGGCAGUUGCGGGUGGCUAUGGGAACAGCUGAGGUACAGGCCCCUCCCUCAGUGGUGGGGAAAUCAGUGUAUCCACUCCCCUUUCCCCUGGAUCUCUGGGCUGACCCCUGUACUACUUCCUCUUGGCUGAGGCACGUGAGGGGCUGGUGACCAUCCACACCCAGCCCUUUACAGAGGGGCAGCACUCCAGUCAGCAUCAUAGUUCUCAGAGCCGAGAACAUGGCUUUCCAGGGUCUGGGAACUCAGAUGGUGACAAGCAAGCAACAGCCCAAAGGUAACUAUCUGCUGGCGAAGGCGGGGGGGGUAGCAGAGAUGCACCCAGUAGCAGGUGGGAGAGGGAAGGGGAGGUAAGAAAUGAGAAGCCCAAACAGGCAGUUUCCAAGUCAUUUUAUUCAGAAUUUUGUGUUUGUUUCCUGAAUCAAUAAAUACUAUACAAAACAAUGUAAAAAUGGCUACCAUUUUCUCUCCCCUGCUUCCCCCCACCUGGGGACAACCCCCUGGGCAACCUCACUCGGGUUUUAGGGGUUCUCCCUCCAGAUUUGGUCCAGCAAAUGAGGCUGAGUGACACAGUCCCUUGAAUCACU